GUCCGGAUUAGAUGGAAGGAAAGAUCAAAGUAAUUCAACACUUAUACAACCGAACCUAAGGAUUCUAACAAGAAAUAUCGGAGCUCAAUGAAAUAUACCAAAGACAUACAGAGUUUCCUAAAACAUGGAUAACACCUUUCAAAUUUUAAAAAAAGAUUUCUCCGAGCACUGAAAGCUGUUCCGCAAAAUACAAUUUAAGAAUUUUGUACUCAUAGAGCAUGUUUGGCCUUGGUAUCGCACUCUUAAUACUGCCAAAAUAAGCCAACAAGAGUUCUCCUGUCUUUUAAGCUACGCAAACUUGCCUAUCUGUCUAAUAUCGCGCUCUUAGAAUGCACAUAAAUCCUAUUGAUGUUUACAUGAUUCAUACUAAAUAUCUUGGGUACCAUCUUCAAUAAAUACAUAACUCCUUUUCAAGAUUCAUCUUCACCACUCCUUUACGAGGAAAAUAAACGUAGUUCAUAGUCCAUUCAUACUAGAUUCUAACAGAACCCGGAAAUCAAAUCGUAGGAGCAAUACUUUGAC
rnacentral:lncRNA from 1 species